CAGCGCCACGAGUGGUGACCACGUUUAUUGGGCCUAAAGCGUCCGUAGCCGGUUUGGCAAAUCUUUUGUGAAAUUGUACGGCUUAACCGUACAGCGUGCAAGAGACACUACCAAACUCGAGACCGGGAGGAGUCAGAAGUAUUCCAGGGGGAGCGGUAAAAUGUUAUAAUCCCUGGAGGACUACCUGUGGCGAAGGCGUCUGACCAGAACGGAUCUGACGGUGAGGGACGAAAGCUAGGGGAGCGAACCGGAUUAGAUACCCGAGUAGUCC
rnacentral:rRNA from 1 species